UCUCUUGGAAGGUCAGAGAGGUCGAGUUUGGGAAAUAACAUCCCGACUCGAUUACGGCACCUCAUGAAGCCAACCUCAAAGCCAUAAUCGAACAUGCACCAAAUCCUGUCAUCAGAACCUCCAAAAGAAGAAUUAUCGAGCUCUCUGUCAGCCUGAGGUCUCGUCAGAACAAGCGAGUUUCCCCUCAGUAAGGGCUCAGCUAAAAUUUGCUGAUGACCAACCCUCGUCCUAGGUCCAGUUACAGCCAAAAAAUCUAUCAUCGCAAGAUGAUUCCCCUGCGGC
rnacentral:lncRNA from 1 species